rnacentral:rRNA from 1 species
ACAGCAGUAGCCGCGGUAAUACGGAGGGUGCAAGCGUUGUCCGGAUUUAUUGGGUUUAAAGGGUGCGUAGGCGGCCUAAUAAGUCAGUGGUGAAAGCCUCCAGCUUAACUGGAGAACUGCCAUUGAUACUGUUAGGCUUGAGUAUACUUGAGGUAGGCGGAAUUGACAGUGUAGCGGUGAAAUGCAUAGAUAUUGUCAAGAACACCAAUCGCGAAGGCAGCUUACUAAAUUAUAACUGACGCUGAGGCACGAAAGUGUGGGUAUCAAACAGGAUUAGAUACCCCGGUAGUCCCUGUCUCUUAUAC